rnacentral:rRNA from 1 species
AUUGAACGCUGGCGGCAGGCCUAACACAUGCAAGUCGAACGAGUGGCGGACGGGUGAGUAAUGUCUGGGACACUGCCUGAUGGCGGGGGAUAACUACUGGAAACGGUAGCUAAUACCGCAUACCAUCGGAUGUGCCCAGAUGGGCUUAGCUAGUAGGUGGGGUAAAGGCUCACCUAGGCGACGAUCCCUAGCUGGUCUGCGAGGAUGACCAGCCACACUGGAACUGAGACACGGUCCGGACUCCUAGGGGAGGCAGCAGUGGGGAAUAGUGCACGAUGGGCGGAAGCGUGAGGCAGCCAUGCCGCGUGUAUGAAGAAGGCCUUCGGGUUGUAAAGUACUAUCAGCGGGGAGGCGUUACCCGCAGAAGAAGCACCGGCUAACUCCGUGCCAGCAGCCGCGGUAAUAC